rnacentral:rRNA from 1 species
AUGGAUCUUCUCCAGUUUGUGCUCACCUUUAAAGGCACACCACCAUGGCUGAACUCGACGGCCAUUACCACCCUUACGGACCGUUGGAGGCCGGAGACGCACUCUUUUCACCUUGCUCUUGGUGAGAUGACCGUCACUUUGGAGGAUAUUGCGAUGAUCUCCGGUCUUCCGAUCGAGGGCAGGGCUCUUACCGGGAAGGUGAAGUCUGAGGGGUGGCAACAAAGGGUUGCAGGUUUGGUUGGUGUUGAACCUCCCCUGUGGAUUCAUGAAACAAAGAAGGAUCGUGGCCAUCUGGUGUUCUGUUCUCGUGGCUACAAGGACAUUUUUACGAGUGCCCAGAGAAUGCCAGUCCGGCUGUUGUGGAGAGGUACGCCAGGGCUUACUUAUGGAAUCUUUUGA